UGAUCUUUCUUUAAUUGCUGUGUGACACUGGACGUCAGCACCAAAAUGGGCAAUGAGAACAGUAGUGCAGAAAAUCAGAGCGCUCCACAGGAUUCAGAAUUAGACCACCCACCUGGUAAGGGGCACGGCAUAAGAAGCAACCCCCAGGAAAACAGCGUUGGAGGAUCUGGAGCUCAGGACAUCUCAGAGCUUCUUCCUGCUGCUGUGCGGCUGGCCGAGAGCACAUCUCCCUUGAUUCCAGAACGUACAAGCGUCAGUAAUGAAGGCAUCAGUAGCUCCAGCGCUGAAGAUUUGUCCGAUCCAAAUUCAAGCGUGGUGCCUGCAGAGGUGACAGGACAGAGCAGUGCCUUGCAAGACCAUGGAGGACAAGCAGGCUGUAGUGUCCUACAGCAGACAGCGGAAGGAAAAGAGGGAAGUCUGCCUACCCCAAUGCCUUUAGCAGGCUCUUCCGAAGAAGAAGUCGCAGCAGAUCUUGCAAGCAGCGAUGACAAAUUGCCAGCCUCAAACUGCAAUGAAGCUGUGCCACCGCCGGGUCCAGUGAGUGACAAAGAAGAGGGAAUAGCACGUGGCGUAUCUGAGGACAGAGGCCCCGAGUGUGACCCUACUGCACCUGCUUCUUUGAAAACCUGUGAGGAGGAUCCCAGAAACCCAAGCCUGCAGCCCAGCCCUCCUACAGCAAUGCAAGGAGUCACAGAAAUUAAUUUGAGUGAGUUAGGGGUGUUGGGGCAGAGUGAGCAGCUGGGUGACAUGAGGGAAGCACAUGUCAGCACGUUUCCCCAGGGCAAAGAAGCAGGGGAUUAUUUUACUGCUCAGGAGGCCGAGCAGGAGCUGGGAGUUUUGGAAGUAGGUCAGCCGCAGGCUGUAAUGCAGCAAGGUAGACAGGACACAGAUGGUGGAGAAGGUCUGCUAAUGAAAAAGGAAACCUUAAUCCUAAAUUAUCCAGCAACAGGAGGCUCAGAUGGUGAAAAAUUUGGAGCAAUUGCAAACACUCAGGGUUUCGCUGUGAGGCCUGAGAUCAGUGAGGUCUGUAGUACACAGAAGGGGGCUGUAACAACAGCUAGAAGGAACGAGGUAAACCCAGCUCUGUCCGGGAGCCAAGGAGAGCAAUCCGAAGCCUGUACUUCAGUGUCAGAGUUACCCCUUAAUGCGCCAAGUCUCCUCCCGGUACCAAAGCCAGAAGAACCUUUGAGGGAAUAUGUGCCUGGAAAUGACUAUCAAGAUCCGAUGAAAAGCGAGGCAAUGAAAAUAGCCUCUGAAAAAAAUGAACCCAGUUUUGAAAGAGAGCUUCAAAAGGAGGAUGAGCUUGUUAGUGCUGAGCACUUCAGUGCGCCUUUAUCACUUAAGCAAGAGGAAGAACAAAAAUCAGCUGUCACAACUGAAAGCCAAAAAGAUGAAGCCAGUAGCGAUGAAAUCAUAAAAGCUGAUGAUGUGUCUAGAGAAAGCACCACGCUUUCUGAAGCAGAAACCAUUACCAAUCCCACCAAGGAAAUUUCCCCGGUAGAUAAAAGAUUAUUACUGGGAGAAUAUGCAUUAAGUACUUCCCUGAGCAGAGCCGCGGAGCCGAAUCAAAAGGGAGCUGAUGUGAGUGUAUCGGGAGGGAAAAACAGAAUGAGAGCAGAGGAGGCACACGUGGCAGAAACCAGUGCAUUACCUGAAGGGCCAAGUGGGGCAGAAAGACAACUGUUGAGCUCUCUUAGUAGCCACGAGCGGGAUGCAGAAGAAACCCCCUUGAGCCCCAAUCCCAGAGAACCCAGUCUUUGUGAAAAGGCUUCAGCAGGCGGCCCAAAGGAAGAAGCUGUGGGAAAGCCCCUGAAUUUAGGCAGUGACUUUAAGCCACCUGAAGACCACUCAGACCCUCUGGGCUGUACGCCUGAACAGCGACUGAGCGAGGAGAAAGCAGCUGCCACAGAUGACCCGGAGAACAAGGGCGGCUUUGCGCUGGCGGCCUCGCCGCAGCGUCCGAGGGCAGGAUGCCCGCCGAGCGUUGAUUGCUUUCACUCUGAGACAGAAGACACAACUUUGGGCCAGCCAGGCUCUAAUGGGGCUGAAGAGGUUUGUUUAGCUGGGGCACACAGUUCGCCGCUCCUCCGCCCUGAGAACAAUAAUGUUCUGCAGAGUAAGCAGGAUGAGUCCUGGGAAGAGACUUUUCCUAGAGAAGCCGCGUUAGGAACUGGGUACAAAACGGAGAGUCGAGGCAAGCCUGGGAGCUAUAGCGAGUCAGAAGAAAGUGCAAAAACGUCCGGAUCAAUGCUUGAACGUCAGGGCUUAAAUGAAUUGGCAGGGGCCGUGGGUUGCAUUGCUGCUCAAGCUGAGGAGGACCCACAAGUUUUGGAAACCGGAGAGCAGUGCGGGCACCUCAGCGACGUGCCUCGCGGCACUGCCACCUGCAGCACUGCCGGGGACAGCGAAGAGCACGAGGCCGCUGUUCAGCGGGAGAAGCACCACGCCGCGGUGAGAAGUUUUGUGGAGGACAAAGGUUUGGCACUGAAAACUGAGCACGAGUCUGAUAUGCUGAUGCAAGCUCGGCAGGAGCAAGGGGCUGCAGAAAGUCACGGAAACGUGCAGAUGGCUUGUGCAGGAGUCGGUAGGGCAGAGCUCGUCCCUUGGCCACCUCAGGAGGAAGGAGUGGGUGACGGCACCAGUGGGGACAAGUGCAGCUCUUCGGUGACCCUGGAGUGCAGUGUUGGAGAUCUGCAGGAAAACGCGGAUGUUCCAGCUGCUCUUCCCCACGUGGAGCAGAUGGAGAAGUCGGUGAGUGCUGGUGACAGAGACCGGGCUUCGAACGCAGGACACAAGCAGCAGACACACCAAAGCAGUCCGACAGGAGUCGCAAGAGCAGAUGAUCAGGAACACACAGGAAGACCUCUAAAACCUGAGCUGGAAGUAAAGCAUCACAGCGACAUACCAGAACUGCCUCGAAACAUUUCCGACAACCUUAAUAAAGAAUCUGCUGGGCUAGGUCCAGCCCAGCAUCACCCUGGCACAGCAGCAGAAGAGGACGAGGCUGGGAGUAGUGCCGGGGUGCCAGAGGAUGCGUGCAGCCGUGAACACCUGCAAAACAUUUCUGGUGUGAUCGUACUUAAUUUGCAAGAGUGCAACGAGCAAAACAAAACCAAUCUCGAGGCAGAAGAAAACUGCUGCAGUAAGCAAAACUCAAACAAGCUCAAGCAGGGCAAUAAUUCUUUGAUCUCAGCUAGUCAGCAUGAAGAAGCAUGUCAGAGAGAUACGUUUUCUAAAGAAUCUGACAAGAAGGAGCAGCCAGUCAGCAUAUGCAGGAUAAAAGACAGCACUGGUGAAAGCCAUGCUUCUGCUGUAAAUGCUCUUCCAGGGACGCAGAAUUCAGCAAGUGCCACUAACAUAGCACAGACUUUGCCAAGUGCUCAUGAAAUAGCACAUACUUCUGAUAAUUUUGAGAAAAACGAUCCUCAAAUAUCUAGCCCAGAAACUCAAGAGAAGCUGUCAUUAGUGGCAAAAAGCUCAGGAGAGACCGAGGGUCUGGCUGCCGACGGGGGACCCGUCCAGACAGAUGGAAAUGUGCAGCUGAGUUGUGAGGACAGUGCUGCUGUUGACGAAACAAGCAAUGUGAAAAGCGAUAAAAGUCCAGGGGCAAAAGGAUGUCGUUCCCUGUUACAGGCUCACGGGGAAGCAAUUCCCACCGAUAAGCCUUAUAAACCCAGCUGCAUUCAAAAGACACCAGAGGAGCCUGGGUUUCCUCAAGCAAAUUUGACGGCCCCCCCUCCGCUGACCUCUGCAGUCAAUCAUCCUGGCCAGCAAGCUGGAAGCAAUGCAAACAGCGGCACUGGGGGGGAAUUACUAAAUAAUGAGCUGGGAGCUGUAGCAUGCCAGAACGCCUUAGAAAGCAACUCCAAUUUGCAGAUGGCUCCAGGUUCUCAGGUGUCUGUGCAUUUAGGUCCUCCACCUGGGGUAAGCGCAGGUGAAAGAGCCAACUCAGAACACAGCUCUGCAGGGGGCAGGGACGUCAGCGGCAAAGAUGUUCCAAACCAAAGUUUUCAGGGAGAAGGAGACAGAAGUUUAACCCCGCCAGAGGCUUUAAACACGGGGCAGGGUUCUGGAAACUUAUCACAGUUUAAUUCGGAGAAGCUGAAGAAAGAGCUAUGUGCAAUUAAAUCCAAAGAAACAAAAGGCGAUGUAAGCUUCAAAGCCCAGCAGAGUGACAGUUCAGCCGAGGCUCUGUUAGCUCUCCCUGCUCCAGAAGGGAAGCUGCUGAGCCUUUCAUCUGUUGGUAAACAAGGCGGCUGUAAUGAGGAAAUCGCAACCGGUAUCUGCGUAGAUGACAAGUACGGUAUGAUCUUAGAGAAACCUGGGAAUUUAGAAAAAAUGGAAGAGGUAUUAAAGGAGAAUAACAGCACAACCAGGGCAGAGAUCAGUAUUUCCAGGCAGUCUGCGGAGAAGGAGCAUGAGGUUCUGACUCCCAGCUCUCUGGGCAUCGGCUCCAGCCUCCCGGACUUCAGGGAGCACAUCAGCCAGAUAUUUAAGAAAACAGUCCACAGCACGCUGAGUGCUGAAUUACCCCAGUUUGCACCCGAAAACCAUGCAGGCUUCAAGCAGAGCACAGUGGCCGAGGGUAGGGCGCAGCUGUGCGGCGCUGAGAACUUGUCAGGAUCGGUCGAGGGGGGCAAAGCAGCUCCUGGGGGCACCUCGGAAGCAGAGGGGCCAGAGCUGCCUUUAGCUGCUGAGGCUUCCUGCACUGCUCCCGCACCUCUGCAACAAGAAAAUGCAGUGCCACCAGCGAGUCUCCGGGACGCUGAGAAAAGCAGGCAGCCUGCUGGCUGCUUAGCAAUGGUCCCGAGGUCGGAGGGCUCUGCACCUGCUGAGCGCUCUCUGGAAAACCUGCAGAAGCCAACGGGGAACGCUGAGCACCCCGAGAGCAGCGAGAUGGAAAGAAAGGCAGGCGUGUGUGCUAGGGGUGUUGAUCCUGAAUCGCUAAUGAGCUUGGAGAGAAAGAAGCAAGGACCAGCUUCAUCUGCCGGGGCAGCAGCUGAGAACUUCCCUGCCUAUUCUGACAGGGAGCCACAACCCAGCGGAGCUGGGAUCUCUACAGGCGGCAUGCGGGAGAGUGACUUAGACGAUGCUGCUACCGCAGAGGAAAAUAAUUUAAUUACAGAGGGUACUGCAGAGCCGGUUUCAUCUGAAGAGGAUGUAAGUUGUCAGCCCGAACACUGCCGGGAUCCUGAGCCAAAUGAAGAGGGGAAAAAUGAGUACAGUGGUCCAGACACUGCCAAGAGCAUCUCUGAUGUGGCAGCUUCAGCGCUUCUUCCGAGAGGAUCUUACAGUUGUGAAAAACUGCCAGACAACUUUAAUGUGUUACCUGGGGAAAAUCAGGAGACACGCGUUCCUGGCAAUCUUAUGCAUGACAUUAGGUCUCAGAAUGACACAGAGAUGAUACAGGAUGAGCCGGGAAAUAGGAAGUGCCUGGAAACAUCAGAAAGUACACAAGAUCCACAGCAAGAAAAGAAAGGGACCACGCACGGGUUAAUGGAUUACUUAAAAAACGAAGCCAGCCAGAACGGUUGCUUGCAAACUGACUCUCAGCUAGAAUCUGGCAAUAUGACUGAGGGCGAUAUAAAAGAAAACAGUGGCACAGUGUCAAGCACAGCAAAGGCAGGUAACGAAACAACUGGAGACAUCCCUGAAACAGGUACUGCGAGGAUGUUAGUCACCGGCGAGGGUGGCUUAGCUUUAAACACAAGGACUGAAGAGCUGCAGACAGAGCUGUGCAAAAAUCCCUCUGCACCUAUUGCCGGGAUGGAGCAGGGCGAGUGUUCUGAGUGUGCAGACCUCCCUGGGGCUGCAAAUCAGCCGGGCGAGAUGAAUUCAGAACAUGAAGGCUCACCUCAGGAUGCCACAAGAAAGCUAUCCCCGCUUGCGUUUAUGGAGCCUGCGACACUUGACCUCAGCAAACUUCCAGACGUGGCUGUGGCAGGACUGCCUACUGAAAGGUAUUUACUUUAA
rnacentral:lncRNA from 1 species